rnacentral:rRNA from 1 species
GACGGGGGAUGCAAGUGUUAUCCGGAAUCACUGGGCGUAAAGCGUCUGCAGGUGGUUUCCUAAGUCCACUGUUAAACCUUGAGGCUCAACCUCAAAUCUGCAUUGGAAACUAGGAGACUUGAGUAUAGUAGGGGUAGAGGGAAUUUCCAGUGGAGCGGUGAAAUGCGUAGAGAUCCGGAGGAACACCAGUGGCGAAGGCGACACGCUGGGCCGUACCUGACACUGAUGCGCGACAGCAUGGGGAGCAAACAGG